rnacentral:tRNA from 1 species
GGUAGGAUGGCCGAAGUUUAGGCGGCGGGUUGUAGCCCCGUAGAUAGAGGUUUAAGUCCUUUUCCUAUCA